GACGAACGCUGGCGGCGUGCCUAAUACAUGCAAGUCGAACGCAGUGGGGACGGGUGAGUAACACGUGGGUAACCUCCCAUCAGAGGGGAUAACACUUGGAAACAGGUGCUAAACCGAUACUGAUGGAUGGACCCGCGGUGCAUUAGCUAGUUGGUGAGGUAACGGCUCACCAAGGCCACGAUGCAUAGCCGACCUGAGAGGAUGACCAGCCACACUGGAACUGAGACACGGUCCAGACUCCUACGGGAGGCAGCAGUGGGGAAUAUUGCACAAUGGGCGCAAGCCUGAUGCAGCCAUGCCGCGUGUGUGAAGAAGGCCUUCGGGUUGUAAAGCACUUUCAGCGAGGAGGCGUUACUCGCAGAAGAAGCACCGGCUAACUCCGUGCCAGCCGCCGCGGUAAUAC
rnacentral:rRNA from 1 species